rnacentral:rRNA from 1 species
AGUGAACGCUGGCGGUAGGCCUAACACAUGCAAGUCGAACGGCAGCACAGUAAGAGCUUGCUCUUACGGGUGGCGAGUGGCGGACGGGUGAGGAAUAAAUCGGAAUCUACUUUUUCGUGGGGGAUAACGUAGGGAAACUUACGCUAAUACCGCAUACGACCUACGGGUGAAAGCAGGGGAUCUUCGGACCUUGCGCGAUUGAAUGAGCCAAUGUCGGAUUAGCUAGUUGUCGGGGUAAAGGCCCACCAAGGCGACGAUCCGUAGCUGGUCUGAGAGGAUGAUCAGCCACACUGGAACUGAGACACGGUCCAGACUCCUACGGGAGGCAGCAGUGGGGAAUUUUGGACAAUGGGCGCAAGCCUGAUCCAGCCAUACCGCGUGGGUGAAGAAGGCCUUCGGGUUGUAAAGCCCUUUUGUUGGGAAAGAAAAGCAGCAGGUUAAUACCCCGCUGUUCUGACGGUACCCAAAGAAUAAGCACCGGCUAACUUCGUG